GUGGGGAAUUUUGGACAAUGGGCGCAAGCCUGAUCCAGCAAUGCCGCGUGCAGGAAGAAGGCCUUCGGGUUGUAAACUGCUUUUGUACGGAACGAAACGGUCCUGGCUAAUAUCCGGGGCUAAUGACGGUACCGUAAGAAUAAGCACCGGCUAACUACGUGCCAGCAGCCGCGGUAAUACGUAGGGUGCAAGCGUUAAUCGGAAUUACUGGGCGUAAAGCGUGCGCAGGCGGUUUUGUAAGACAGGCGUGAAAUCCCCGGGCUCAACCUGGGAAUUGCGCUUGUGACUGCAAGGCUGGAGUGCGGCAGAGGGGGAUGGAAUUCCGCGUGUAGCAGUGAAAUGCGUAGAUAUGCGGAGGAACACCGAUGGCGAAGGCAAUCCCCUGGGCCUGCACUGACGCUCAUGCACGAAAGCGUGGGGAGCAAACAGGAUUAGAUACCCCGGUAGUCC
rnacentral:rRNA from 1 species